UACAGAGGUCUCAAGCGUUGUUCGGAUUCAUUGGGCGUAAAGGGUGCGUAGGUGGCGUGGUAAGUCGGGUGUGAAAUUUCGGAGCUUAACUCCGAAACUGCAUUCGAUACUGCCGUGCUUGAGGACUGGAGAGGAGACUGGAAUUUACGGUGUAGCAGUGAAAUGCGUAGAGAUCGUAAGGAAGACCAGUGGCGAAGGCGGGUCUCUGGACAGUUCCUGACACUGAGGCACGAAGGCCAGGGGGAGCAAACGGGG
rnacentral:rRNA from 1 species